rnacentral:rRNA from 1 species
AGCGAACGCUGCCGGCAGGCUUAACACAUGCAAGUCGAGCGGGCGUAGCAAUACGUCAGCGGCAGACGGGUGAGUAACGCGUGGAAACAUACCUUUUGGUUCGGAACAACACAGGGAAACUUGUGCUAAUACCGGAUAAGCCCUUACGGGGAAAGAUUUAUCGCCGAAAGAUUGGCCCGCGUCUGAUUAGCUAGUUGGUGAGGUAAUGGCUCACCAAGGCGACGAUCAGUAGCUGGUCUGAGAGGAUGAUCAGCCACAUUGGGACUGAGACACGGCCCAAACUCCUACGGGAGGCAGCAGUGGGGAAUAUUGGACAAUGGGCGCAAGCCUGAUCCAGCCAUGCCGCGUGAGUGAUGAAGGCCCUAGGGUUGUAAAGCUCUUUUGUGCGGGAAGAUAAUGACGGU